rnacentral:rRNA from 1 species
GACGAACGCUGGCGGCGUGCUUAACACAUGCAAGUCGAACGGAAAGGCCCUGCUUUUGUGGGGUGCUCGAGUGGCGAACGGGUGAGUAACACGUGAGUAACCUGCCCUUGACUUUGGGAUAACUUCAGGAAACUGGGGCUAAUACCGGAUAGGAGCUCCUGCUGCAUGGUGGGGGUUGGAAAGUUUCGGCGGUUGGGGAUGGACUCGCGGCUUAUCAGCUUGUUGGUGGGGUAGUGGCUUACCAAGGCUUUGACGGGUAGCCGGCCUGAGAGGGUGACCGGCCAAAUUGGGACGGGGAUACGGCCAGAACUCCAACGGGAGGCAGCAGUGGGGAAUAAUGCACAAUGGGCGGAAGCCAGAUGCAGCAAAGCCGCGUGAGGGAUAAAGGCCUUCGGGUUGUAAACCGCUUUCGCCUGGGACGAAGCAUGAGUGACGGUAAUGGGUGAAGAAGCACCGGCUAACUACGUG